rnacentral:rRNA from 1 species
CAUGCAGUCGAGCGGCAGCGGGUCCUUCGGGAUGCCGGCGAGCGGCGGACGGGUGCGUAUUGCCUAGGAAUCUGCCUGGUAGUGGGGGAUAACUCGGGGAAACUCGAGCUAAUACCGCAUACGUCCUACGGGAGAAAGCGGGGGAUCUUCGGACCUCGCGCUACCAGAUGAGCCUAGGUCGGAUUAGCUAGUUGGUGAGGUAAAGGCUCACCAAGGCUACGAUCCGUAGCUGGUCUGGAGAGGAUGAUCAGCCACACUGGAACUGAGACACGGUCCAGACUCCUACGGGAGGCAGCAGUGGGGAAUAUUGGACAAUGGGCGAAAGCCUGAUCCAGCCAUGCCGCGUGUGUGAAGAAGGUCUUCGGAUUGUAAAGCACUUUAAGUUGGGAGGAAGGGCAGUAAGCUAAUACCUUGCUGUUUUGACGUUACCGACAGAAUAAGCACCGGCUAACUUCGUGCCAGCAGCCGCGGUAAUACGAAGGGUGCAAGCGUUAAUCGGAAUUACUGGGCGUAAAGCGCGCGUAGGUGGUUUGAUAAGUUGGAUGUGAAAGCCCCGGGCUCAACCUGGGAAUUGCAUCCAAAACUGUCUGACUAGAGUAUGGCAGAGGGUGGUGGAAUUUCCUGUGUAGCGGUGAAAUGCGUAGAUAUAGGAAGGAACACCAGUGGCGAAGGCGACCACCUGGGCUAAUACUGACA